GAUGAACGCUGACAGAAUGCUUAACACAUGCAAGUCAACUUGAAUUUGGGUUUUUAACUUAGGUUUGGGUGGCGGACGGGUGAGUAACGCGUAAAGAACUUGCCUCACAGCUAGGGACAACAUUUGGAAACGAAUGCUAAUACCUAAUAUUAUGAUAAUAGGGCAUCCUAUAAUUAUGAAAGCUAUAAGCGCUGUGAGAGAGCUUUGCGUCCCAUUAGCUAGUUGGAGAGGUAACGGCUCACCAAGGCGAUGAUGGGUAGCCGGCCUGAGAGGGUGAUCGGCCACAAGGGGACUGAGACACGGCCCGUACUCCUACGGGAGGCAGCAGUGGGGAAUAUUGGACAAUGGACCAAGAGUCUGAUCCAGCAAUUCUGUGUGCACGAUGAAGUUUUUCGGAAUGUAAAGUGCUUUCAGUUGGGAAGAAAGAAAUGACGGUACCAACAGAAGAAGUGACGGCUAAAUACGUG
rnacentral:rRNA from 1 species